GACGAACGCUGGCGGCGUGCUUAACACAUGCAAGUCGAACGGAAAGGCCCCUUUGGGGGUACUCGAGUGGCGAACGGGUGAGUAACACGUGAGUAACCUGCCCUUGACUUCGGGAUAACUUCAGGAAACUGGGGCUAAUACCGGAUAGGAAUCCUUGCUGCAUGGUGGGGGUUGGAAAGCUUCGGCGGUUUUGGAUGGACUCGCGGCUUAUCAGCUUGUUGGUGGGGUAGUGGCUUACCAAGGCUUUGACGGGUAGCCGGCCUGGGAGGGCGACCGGCCACAUUGGGACUGAGAUACGGCCCAGACUCCUACGGGGGGCAGCAGUGGGGAAUAUUGCACAAUGGGCGGAAGCCUGAUGCAGCAACGCCGCGGGCGGGAUGACGGCCUUCGGGUUGGAAACCGCUUUCAGCAGGGGCGAAGCUUGUGGUGACGGUACCUGCAGAAGAAGCACCGGCUAACUACGUG
rnacentral:rRNA from 1 species